rnacentral:rRNA from 1 species
GACGAACGCUGGCGCCGUGCUUAACACAUGCAAUUCGAACGGAAAGGCCCUGCUUUUGUGGGAUGCUCUAGUGGCGAACGGGUGAGUAACACGUGAGUAACCUGCCCUUGACUUUGGGAUAACUUCAGGAAACUGGGGCUAAUACCGGAUAGGAGCUCCUGCUGCAUGGUGUGGGUUGUAAAGUUUCGGCGGUUGGGGAUGGACUCGCGGCUUAUCAUCUUGUUGGUGGGGUAGUGGCUUACCAAGGGUUUGACGGGUAGCCGGCCUGAGAGGGUGACCGCCCACAUUGGGCCUGAGAUACGGACCAGACUCCUACGGGAGGCAGCAGUGGGGAAUAUUGCACAAUGGGCGGAAGCCUGAUGAAGAAACGCUGCGUGCGGGAUGCAGGCCUUCGGGUUGUAAACCGCUUUCGCCUGUGACGAAGCGUGAGUGACGGUAAUGGGUAAAGAAGCACCGGCUAACUACGUG